rnacentral:rRNA from 1 species
AUUGAACGCUGGCGGCAUGCCUUACACAUGCAAGUCGAACGGUAACGGGCCUUCGGGUGCCGACGAGUGGCGAACGGGUGAGUAAUACAUCGGAACGUGCCCGAUCGUGGGGGAUAACGAGGCGAAAGCUUUGCUAAUACCGCAUACGAUCUACGGAUGAAAGCAGGGGACCGCAAGGCCUUGCGCGGACGGAGCGGCCGAUGGCAGAUUAGGUAGUUGGCGGGAUAAAAGCUUACCAAGCCGACGAUCUGUAGCUGGUCUGAGAGGAUGAUCAGCCACACUGGGACUGAGACACGGCCCAGACUCCUACGGGAGGCAGCAGUGGGGAAUUUUGGACAAUGGGCGCAAGCCUGAUCCAGCCAUGCCGCGUGCAGGAUGAAGGCCUUCGGGUUGUAAACUGCUUUUGUACGGAACGAAAAGCCUUCUUUUAAUACAGGAGGGUCAUGACGGUACCGUAAGAAUAAGCACCGGCUAACAACGUG